CGUUUAAUUGACACAUGAGACCUAUUUCCAACAAAAUUAUAAAUAAAAGAUAUAACAAAAAUUAAUCAUAUAAUAAUAAUAAAAUAUAUAUUGCCCUUUUAUGGCGGUCAGUGUGUUCUGCAGCGGAAAUAAGAACGCUAAGUAGCUUGGAACGUUGUGCCUGGUAGAGCGGUUCUUCGGGGUCGGUGAACGUUUGUGCAGCGAAUUUGUCCAGGAACCAAUCGGGGGGCUUGGCGCGACCUUCAUUUUUGAUACGGAACCGCCAGUUCUUCGUCAGACGCGAGAAUUGCCGCUGGAUCCAGUUGUUGUUGGCGUUCGAUUCCGUCACAGCCUGAACAAGUUCGCAGCCCAUCUGAGCCGACUAUUCAAGCCGCCAUCUCUCUUGUGUCAUGAUAACGGCUGUACCCCCUAAACCAGAACUCAUUGGUAUUCGUAUGUAGUCAUUAAAAUGGGUACCUGGCGUAGGAUUAAGACCUGGCAUAAUAGCAUACUCGAUGCGAAAACAAAUAUAUCAUCUAUUAAGUUGUGGACAAUUCGAUGCCUGUUAUUUGAGAUGUCUCCACAACAAAUGCCUCAAUUUGAGCUGUCUACAAGCUCUUCCCAUUCUAUCAGAAUAUAUUCUAUCAGAAUUUACCAAGUAAUUAUUUAAAAGCUACAACGUGGAGUCGGGAGGGACACUUCACCAAGCACUACGGUCUGUAGAUAUUCCCGCGUAUUUAUCUUACUAGGGUCAGCCGAGGGUGAGCCGAGUAAUAAAAUAUUUUGAUAAAGUAUUUUCUUCGGUUGUUCCGAGUCGUAGAUAUAAUUAAAACUACUUUUAUUAUUUUUACUUAAAUUUUAUUAUAACCGACGUUUCGAAUAUUAUGUAGUUUACAGUUUUUGUGGUCAUGGUCGAUUAAGCAGUUUAUUGUCGACAUUUGAAUGUUGUGUUAAAAAUAUCGUGUAUUUUUCUGUUAGAUAUAAAAUAUAUCUAGACUUUUACAUUUCAUUUCACACGGAGUGCACUAAUAGUAAUCAUCAGAUUUGCCAGAUUAUUUUGAUUUGGGUUUAAAUCUUCGCGAUAAAAAAAUACCAUGAGAUAGUUUUAAAUAAAAAAAUUGAUAAGUUCGUAUAUGCAGCCAUAAUAUCCAUAGACAUUAAUUGAAUGUUGUCUUUACUAACUCCGCACACUCUCAUUGAGAUGAUCUCAUGUACUUUCACAGUACAUUCAAUAUCAUUACUCAAAGUAUUAAUCAGACCAGAUAUCAAGAGGUCAUCGAUAUACUUAUAGAAUUUAGUAAAAAAUUAGAAACUGGUCGAAUACAUAUUCUUCUUCUUCUCAGUCGUUCACUCCUGGCGGAGUGGUCGUGGUUACGUAAGUCUUAAUAUUUGGUUGCGGCUUUUGAGAGGCUUCUCCAUCUCUCUCUAUUUGUGGCGGUACGUGUACACUCAGUAAGGGAACACUUCGUAGAAAACUUAACCAAGUCUGUCCACCUUGUGGGUGAUCGGCCGCGAGAGCGUUGACCGUCUACUCUUCCUUGAAUACAUAUUGGGCUUAAUGAAAUUAUAAUAAUUUUGAUUCUCCAAUUUAAAUAUAACACCUUUGGCUUCAUCUUUAUUCACAGUGUGCCCUGAGUUACGAGAAGCACGGUGUUUCGUAAUAAGCGAUGUGAAUUUGCCGCGGCUCAAAUUUCGCAAGGGUUACCUCUUUUUUUCAAAAAACAAAAAACAAACGGUACGGUGGAACAAUUAAAAAAUCAAACCCAACAAUGUAUCUAUCUCUAAUUGAGGGCAGGUAUUUGUAUCUGUAUAUCUACCGCGUGAUGUUAAUACGUUCCGGUUUGAAGAGUGAGCGGCCAGUUGUCGGGUUGUAUUGAAAAACUGUGACUCAUGUCUCAAGUUAACUGUCGAUAUUUUCAUCGUUGAUGUCUAUGGGCUCCGCCAACAACUUGAUAUCCGGUGGGCCGUGAGAACGCCGCCCAUGCGAACGAUAAAAAAAUAUUUAAGGAUUCAUUAAUUUAGGAAAGCAAAAAGAUAAUUUACGAAUGAUUUAAAAAAAAAAAAAAAAAACUAGUGAUGGGAGAUUAAGUAGUAUUAGUAACCACAAAAACACCAAAAAAGCCACUUGGAUUAUUCAAAUUCUCCUUAGUUCAAGAGCUCAAUCAUUCUUCUUCUUCUUCUUAGUCACAUACUUCUUUGCUGAAGGUCGUGUCCCUGACAGCCCUUCGUGGCUCUUUGUAUCAUAAGCUUCCAUUUCCUUCGGUUUUCGGCUUCUCUCAGGGCGGUCGCAACAGAGAGUUCAGUGAGCGCAGUCAUCUGAUCUGACCAACGGUUUGGUUGCCGGCCGGCGGGUCUUUUCCCUUCUACCUUGCCCACCACAGUCAAUUUUUCAAGGUUGCUCAAUCAUAGUUACUGCGUAUUUCAUCGAUUGGCAUCUUCGCAAUGCAAACACCCGCGUACAUAAUUCAUGCAGUAUCCUUAUCAUAUAUUUAAAUUAGACGCUAAUUUUGUUCUCAUAAUGAUUAUUCGAGAUGGAUUACUGCUUCAAGAAAGCCAGAGCUCGCUUUCCAAGCGCAAAGUUUAAAUUAACGAUUUCCAUCUGAACUAAGCACGUGCACAAGUCGAAGAGAGCAAGCACAUCGUUAUUUUUACGCUUCGAAGGCUUUUGUAGUUAGUAGCGAUUCAAGUUCAACCCUAUUUACUGAACUACGUUUCAGUGUUGAUUUAAAGUUGCAUCAACAGAAAGAUUUCGAUUAAUUGAAAUGCUCUAUAUAGUUGGAAGUGUUUGCUUUUCGGGAACUAUCCGAUUCUGUGGUUCGGUUUUAAAUUCGUUGAUACAAAUUUAGUUAUUUAGUUUUAGUCAAAUAAAUUUUCGGUUAAUAAUGUUUUAUGGUAAGCUGUUUUCGGGUUUAGUUCUUGAGAAUUCGUCGAGGCUUCAAGAAUGAAACACCCUUUGUAUUUGUAUCGACUGAUGUGACUAUGCCUGUUGUGUUAACUCUUCGAAAGAAAUACGUACUUAACACAUGUUGACGUAUGACUACUACAAUGAAGGAAUAAAAUUAUUUAAUAAAAAUUAAACUCUUAAAAUGUUUAUUGUGCGUAAUUACCAAACAAUUGAGACAUAGAUCUCAAGCCUCAAGACGGGUUUUACCGGAGCCCAUAGACAACUACAACGUAAAUGCCGCCACUCACCUUGAGAUAUGAGUUCUAAGGUAGGUAUCAGUUGUAACAGUAUAACGGCUGGCCCGCCCUUCAAGUCGAAACGCAUUACUACUUUACGGCAGAAAUAGGCAGGGCGGUGGCACCUACCCGUGCGAACUCACAAAACGUCCUACCAACAGUAAUUACGUAAAUCAUAAUUUUGCGGGUUUGAUUUUUCUUACAAGAUGUUAUUCGUUCACCGUAGAAGUCACACAUUUGCUAAGUAUGUAUUUCUUUAGAAAAAUUGGUGCCCGCCUGCGGGAUUCGAACACCGUUGCAUCGCUUGAUACGAAUGCACUGAGCGUCUUAUCCUUUAGGCCAAUACGACUUUUUAAUAUGUAGGUGGCGAUAUUCACUUUGUGAUGCCUAUGUGCUUAACGCAAAGUAGGUCGUAAGCGACAUUCACUAGCCUACGCUAUAAAAAAAUAUAUUAUACAAAAAAAUCCAAGUCAAGUAAAAAUGCAUUUUUUUUAACUAAUUGUUUCUCAUGUUUUUCAUCUCAGGAUACCUCAGAAAUAGCGUAGGUACAUGCAUUCAGAUAGGUAAAAUUGAAAUUUUUUUUAAAUUAAAUAACCUGCAAUUCAUAUGUCUAUGAAAUUGUGUAUAUUACUUUCAGUAACUUUAAUAAACAUAUUCCACUACUGAAGUCA